rnacentral:rRNA from 1 species
UACUCGAGUGGCGAACGGGUGAGUAACACGUGGGUGGAUCUGCCCUGCACUUCGGGAUAAGCUUGGGAAACUGGGUCUAAUACCGGAUAGGAGCCAUCUUUAGUGUGGUGGUUGGAAAGUUUUUCGGUGUAGGAUGAGCUCGCGGCCUAUCAGCUUGUUGGUGGGGUAAUGGCCUACCAAGGCGGCGACGGGUAGCCGGCCUGAGAGGGUGUACGGCCACAUUGGGACUGAGAUACGGCCCAG